rnacentral:lncRNA from 2 species
ACCAUCCAUUCCCAACCUCAAACCAAAACCCUAGAUCCUGAAGGCGGCGACGACGGCUACCGCGACGUCGACAACGACAACUGUCAGCGCGACCACAAAUGGCGAGGAGGAGUUGGUCACCGCCAAUGGAGGGAUGAGUGCGCCAGGCCCUAUGCCUAUGCUCCCCUCGUCAGCAGCAGAGGCAAUGGAUCUGGGCGGAUCCCUUCGACGUGUUACUUCAAAACCAUUCUGAUGGUAGGAAAAUCAUCAGUAAAGGUGACACUAGGCAUUAGCAUAAGGACUGGGUUUACUUGGGGUUCAAACCAAUCUCGAUCAGUGUGGUAUUUUCACAAAACUAUUGGUGAGGUUGUUAGGCUCCUAGGGGACAAUGAUCUGCCUGGUUUUUUCGAGAUGUAUGCAACU